AUUGGACGCUGGCGGCAUGCCUUACACAUGCAAGUCGAACGGCAGCGGGGACUUCGGUCCGCCGGCGAGUGGCGAACGGGUGAGUAAUGUAUCGGAACGUACCAUUCAGUGGGGGAUAACUAUCCGAAAGGAUAGCUAAUACCGCAUAUUCUGUGAGCAGGAAAGCAGGGGAUCGCAAGACCUUGCGCUGAUUGAGCGGCCGAUAUCAGAUUAGCUAGUUGGUGAGGUAACGGCACACCAAGGCUACGAUCUGUAGCGGGUCUGAGAGGAUGGUCCGCCACACUGGGACUGAGACACGGCCCAGACUCCUACGGGAGGCAGCAGUGGGGAAUUUUGGACAAUGGGCGCAAGCCUGAUCCAGCCAUGCCGCGUGAGUGAAGAAGGCCUUCGGGUUGUAAAGCUCUUUCGGCCGGGAAGAAAUCGCAUCAGCUAAUACCUGGUGUGGAUGACGGUACCGGAAUAAGAAGCACCGGCUAACUACGUGCCAGCCGCCGCCGUAAGAC
rnacentral:rRNA from 1 species